GUACACUCCUACGGGAGGCAGCAGUGGGGAAUUUUGGACAAUGGGCGAAAGCCUGAUCCAGCAAUGCCGCGUGAGUGAAGAAGGCCUUCGGGUUGUAAAGCUCUUUUGUCAGGGAAGAAACGGUGAAAGCUAAUAUCUUUUGCUAAUGACGGUACCUGAAGAAUAAGCACCGGCUAACUACGUGCCAGCAGCCGCGGUAAUACGCAGGGUGCAAGCGUUAAUCGGAAUUACUGGGCGUAAAGCGUGCGCAGGCGGUUUUGUAAGUCUGAUGUGAAAUCCCCGGGCUCAACCUGGGAAUUGCAUUGGAGACUGCAAGGCUAGAAUCUGGCAGAGGGGGGUAGAAUUCCACGUGUAGCAGUGAAAUGCGUAGAUAUGUGGAGGAACACCGAUGGCGAAGGCAGCCCCCUGGGUCAAGAUUGACGCUCAUGCACGAAAGCGUGGGGAGCAAACAGGAUUAGAAACCCUUGUAGUCCCA
rnacentral:rRNA from 1 species